rnacentral:rRNA from 1 species
CCUACGGGAGGCAGCAGUGGGGAAUAUUGGGCAAUGGGCGCAAGCCUGACCCAGCAACGCCGCGUGAAGGAAGAAGGCUUUCGGGUUGUAAACUUCUUUUGUCAGGGACGAAACAAAUGACGGUACCUGACGAAUAAGCCACGACGAACUACGUGCCAGCAGCGGCGGUAAUACGUAGGUGGCAGGCGUUAUCCGGAUUUACUGGGUGUAAAGGGCGUGUAGGCGGGGGAGCAAGUCUGAUGUGAAAUUCCAGGGCUCAACCCUGGAACUGCAUUUGAAACUGUUUUACUUGAGUGAUGGAGAGGCAGGCGGAAUUCCGGGUGUAGCGGUGAAAUGCGUAGAUAUACGGAGGAACACCAGUGGCGAAGGCGGCCUGCUGGACAGUAACUGACGCUGAGGCGCGAAAGCGUGGGGAGCAAACAGGAUUAGAUACCCCAGUAGUC